ensembl:lncRNA
CUGGUCACAGCCCUGGCUCAGUGGCCUUCAGAGCGAGGUGGGGAAAGAAGCAGCAGAAGACACGUGUCUCUCACCUUUGUCUUGUGCAAACAGGACGCAUAGCACUGUGCAACGUUAGGGCCUGUUUUUCCAGCCUGCAUAGCAGAUAUCUGGAUAUUUUGCAUCAUCUUUCCACCUUCAGUUUACAGCAGUGUGUGUUUUUGGUGAGGCAGGCUCUUCAGAUAUGAUGGAACCAGUUCCACACCCGCGUGUGUCCUCGCACAGACAUGUAUGCAAGUGUUGAUGGUAUCAGCAGAAAGGGAGUCCCGGAGGGGUUUCUGAGGCAAUGGCUCUCCCUGGAGCUUCCAUCCCCGGAUGAAGACGUCUAUCUCUGCAUAGACAGAGGCAGUACCGGUUAAGCCCAGGCUGCUGGAAUCCAGGGAGGUUUUAUGUGAGGCUGUCUUGGAGUGAGGUGCGUUGACACGCUCAUGGGGUGUUGAGAAGGGUCCCUCAUUCUAUACACAGAGCCUGAGCAAUGCCUGUGACCCAGAUUACUGCCACCCAUUUUAUGGAUGAAGAAACUAUGGUUGAGUGGAUGCCCAAGGCCAUGCUGCUACAGUGUAUUUGAGCUGGGAUCCAAGCUCCUGGUUACACGCUUCCAACCACAAAUCCAUACAACUCAUCUGUUCUAUUUCUUCUGGCUGGAACAACUUUCUCUCCUCUAGCUGCCUGGAAAACUCCUACCUGGCCUUCAAAACUCAGAUCCAAUGCCUCCUCCUCUGUGAAGCCUUCUCUGAUCCCACUCCAGACAGUUUCAUCUGCUUGGUACCCAGAGCAUCAUGCAUAUGUCUUUACUACAUUGCUCAUCAAUCUAUUCUGAAAUGAUAUGAACAAUACUCAUUUCCCCCCUCAAACUCUAAAUUCUAUUAUCACAGAGCUAAGUUUUCUUACUCCUUUACAUCAUUGACUGACACUGGAAAAUGCUGCCAAUGAAGCAGCCCAUUCCAUUUUUGCUUGGAUUUCACUGUUAGAAAGUUCUUUGUUAGGGUGAACCACACAGCUGGCCUCACUAACAUCCACCUCCUGGGAGGAGGAAGCAGUUGGUUCUACCAUCUUCCUCUCAUAGAAGCUCUUCAGAUGCUGAGCACACCUGUCACCUGUCCCAAGGGGCGUCCCUGAUCAUGUCCUGUGUUGUCCCCAGCCAUUUCCUAUAGAACUUCCCACUCUCUUCCCUCUAAACACAAAGAGCUUUUCCCUUUAACUCCUUAUUUGUCAUUGGUAUCAUGAAGGAGACUAUGGGGUCCACAGAAGCUGGGACAUUCCCUGGGUGAGUCUCCUCUGAAUGUCUUAUGUCCAGCCCAGCAUGUGACUCAUUUUGUUGAAUAUGUGGGUGAAUGGUUGGUUGAGGUCUUGAAUGUGAUAGAAAAAUCAGGAUGGUGAAUAAUUAAAGAUAGGUUUAAGGGCCAUCUGAGUGAGAAUGGCAGCCUUAGGGCAAAAAUUUCCAGUGACACCCUCAAUAGAAUCUUCUUUAAAUGUCCAGUCUUGCUGCUUCACUAACUACUCACAGAUGGGAAUGGACAUUAUUUCUGUCCUGCGUUGUCCAUUGUUGGAGUAGUGGGUGGUUCACGGUAUUUCAGGGCAAUCUGGGUUUGUCUGGGGGCUUAGAGUUUGCCAAGGCAGUUGAAUAUUCCUGAUUUAAGUUUGCAGCUCCUUUAGUCUGUGAUCGUCUUUCUUUCUUUCUUUCUUUUUUUUUUUUUGAAGAUUGGCACCUGAGCUAACAUCUGUUGGUAAUCUUCUUUUGUUUCUCUUCUCCCCAAAGCCCCCCGUACAUAGUUGUAUAUUCUAGUUGUAGGGCCUUCUGGCUCUGCUACAUGGGACACUGCCUCAGCAUGGCUUGAUGAGUGGUGCUAGGUCCGCGCACAAGGUCCAAACUGGUGAAACCCUGGGCCACUGAAGAAGAGCACGUGAGCUUAACCACUCAGCCAUGGGGCUGACCACUGUGGCCAUCUUUCUUCUCCACCUUAUUCACUCAGGCAGUAUUUACAGAGACAUUCUUCUAGGCCUAGUGUCUUGCCUUAGUCCAUGAAACUGAGUCAAACUACCCACGCCACUACCUUCCCAUCCAAUGCAACAAAGUCACCAGUAAUAUCUGAACUCUUUGACAGCUGUCCCCCCAACUAACUCUAGUCCAUUUGAUUCCAAACCUGCUGCCACCCAGGUGCCUAUGCCUCACACUCCCUAGACUCACAGUCUGAAUUGACAGAUUGACUCCAGUUCUGGCACAUCAUAAAUCUCUCUUUGCUCCAGAUUUUCCUCCAGGCAUUUGGACUCAGGCCCUCCUCUCUCUUCCCUUAAUUGGUUUGUUGCUUCAGCUCCGUCAUCACCUAUUUCUCCUCCCAGUCUGUUUGGAGUCUCACCUCUGCUUUGGACCUAGACCAUUGGGAUGAU